AGAGCUGAUAUGGUCUCGUGCAAGCAGCUAGAUUUCAACCAGCAGUGAGUCCAGAGCGCGAGCUUACGAAUCCUACUACGACGAAGGGAUGUCUUACGAGUUGCGUGUUUGGACGCUCUUGAAAAGUCACCAGACUGAUAUUUUACGGCUGUCUUGGACUGAAAAAUAGAAACUCUGACCUCAGUUUUGGGUCUGUGAUGAAUACAAGCAGUAAAUUAUACAAACAUACAGUAAGUGGUCUACUUGACCUGAAACUCUAAUUUACAUUUGGACUGCACUGUGCAAAUAAGAGUACCUUUAAGUGUUGCUGAUUUUCAUCAGAUUUUCAGCAUUAAUUGUAUUACUUUUCACUACAAAUAAACACAUGACAGCAAUUGUCCUCA
ensembl:lncRNA